AGUGAACGCUGGCGGCGUGCCUAAUACGUGCAAGUCGAACGAACGAAUAAGAGCUUGCUCUUAUAAGUUAGUGGCGCACGGGUGAGUAAUAUAUAGCUAAUCUGCCUCUUAGUAGAGGAUAACAGUCGGAAACGAUUGCUAAUACUCUAUACUUCUGCUUUACAUAAGUAAAGUAGAGAAAGUUUUUCGCUAAGAGAUGAGGCUAUACUGUAUCAGCUAGUUGGUAAGGUAACGGCUUACCAAGGCUAUGACGCAUAACUGGUCUGAAAGGAUGAUCAGUCACAUUGGAACUGAGACACGGUCCAAACUCCUACGGGAGGCAGCAGUAGGGAAUAUUGCGCAAUGGGGGAAACCCUGACGCAGCAACGCCGCGUGGAGGAUGACACUUUUCGGAGCGUAAACUCCUUUUAUCGGGAAAGAAUAAUGACGGUACCCGAUGAAUAAGCACCGGCUAACUCCGUGCCAGCAGCCGCGGUAA
rnacentral:rRNA from 1 species